rnacentral:rRNA from 1 species
AUUGAACGCUGGCGGCAGGCCUAACACAUGCAAGUCGAACGAGUGGCGGACGGGUGAGUAGUGUCUGGGAAACUGGCCGAUGGAGGGGGAUAACGACGGGAAACGGUAGCUACUACCGCAUACCAUCGGAUGUGCCCAGGUGGGAUUAGCGAGUAGGUGGGGUAACGGCUCACCUAGGCGACGAUCCCUAGCUGGCCUGAGAGGAUGAUCGGCCACACUGGGACUGAGACACGGCCCAGACUCCUACGGGAGGCAGCAGUGGGGAAUAUUCCACAAUGGGCGAAAGCCUGACGCAGCCACGCCGCGUGUAUGAAGAAGGCCUUCGGGUUGUAAAGCACUUUCAGUGGGGAGGCGGUACUCGCAGAAGAAGCAACGGCUAACUCCGUGCCAGCAGCCGCGGUAAUAC